GCGCGCAGUGGCGGACGCAGAGAGAUAUGUAAGUGGGGGCAAAAAAAUUGAGGAAGUAGGGAACCUCUAGAGACAGCUCAUUGUCCAUUUCUUCUUCCUCUCCGAUCUCCAAUUUUUAAUCACAGAUCUUGAUUCUUAUGUGCCAAUGUCAUGACUGGGGCAGAUUUGACUAAAUACUGGGCAUACAUACGAAGCUGCUGGCCAAAAAAAAAGUUCACUGGGGGCAAUAGCCCCCACUCGCCCCCCUCUGCGUCCGCCAUUGCUCGCGCGAUCGAUGAAAUGGACUUAUGAAGGUGGGUAACUUGAGAGGUGUGUUGAAGAAGCUUCGCAUUGGUUAAUACCCGAUCGUCUCUCACAGUCUCACCCAAACCCGUAAACCAUCGAUGAAAUUCCCCCAAAUGCUUUCCAGUGGCUCCAGCGAUGGGGUAGACUUGGGAUUCGUCCGGCACCGGCCUCGCCCUCAGCAAAGGUUUGAGGUUCAGCUAGGAGAUUACAAAGCACGGGAGUGAUAGAAAGGAGACACCUCAGUUUAACAAAGGGGUGUUGGAAGGAGCUCAAUCGUCGUCGUUUUGAUUUGAAAGUAGAUAGCAUCGAAGAAAGAAUGCGACUCAGGAACACACCAUCAUCUACUGAAUUGAAGUUUCUGAGUCGAUUUCAGGUUUUCUUGUAUCUGUCACUCUAUGAGGAUCUUGAGAGGGCCGCAAAAGAAGAUGAUAAAAACAUAGCCAAAAAAAAAGGAUCAUGAAGAUCCACGCUAAAUGAAAGAAAAUGACAAAAAAAAGAGAGGAGUAGGCACGAACAACUGAUCAAGACAAGGGAGGAGGUUGCUGCUGAUUACAAGGCGGUUGCUUAUACUCCAGAUGUUAUGGAACGGAGAAGAAUGCAGGCAGAGACACUUCCAACUGUAUUUGAAACA